rnacentral:rRNA from 1 species
UACGGAGGAUGCGAGCGUUAUCCGGAUUUAUUGGGUUUAAAGGGUGCGUAGGCGGACUGUCAAGUCAGCGGUAAAAUUGAGAGGCUCAAUCUCUUCCCGCCGUUGAAACUGGUGGUCUUGAGUGGAUGAGGAGUACGCGGAAUGCGUGGUGUAGCGGUGAAAUGCAUAGAUAUCACGCAGAACUCCGAUUGCGAAGGCAGCGUACCGGCAUCCAACUGACGCUGAGGCACGAAAGCGUGGGGAUCAAACAGG